CUGACCUCAGCCGUGGACAAGGUUACUGUCAAGGUGGAUUUAAGCUGAAUUCACAAAGACUGGGCAUGUUCUCCUUGGUGGACCUGGAAGCUACUUCUGGCAAGGUCAGGUGUUAUCUGCAACUCAGGAUGCCAUUGAAGAAUCCUAUGAUCCUGGAUAUUUAGUCUUGGUGGUUCAAGGCCAGCUUGCCACACGUUCAG